UACGGAGGGGGCUAGCGUUGUUCGGAAUUACUGGGCGUAAAGGGCGCGUAGGCGGCCACCGCAAGUCAAUUGUGAAAUCUCCGGGCUUAACUCGGAAAGGUCAACUGAUACUGCGGGGCUAGAGUGCGGAAGGGGCAACUGGAAUUCUCGGUGUAGCGGUGAAAUGCGUAGAUAUCGAGAGGAACACCUGCGGCGAAGGCGGGUUGCUGGGCCGACACUGACGCUGAUGCGCGAAAGCCAGGGGAGCGAACGGG
rnacentral:rRNA from 1 species